rnacentral:rRNA from 1 species
AUUGAACGCUGGCGGCAUGCCUUACACAUGCAAGUCGAACGGUAACAGGUCUUCGGAUGCUGACGAGUGGCGAACGGGUGAGUAAUACAUCGGAACGUGCCUAGUAGUGGGGGAUAACUACUCGAAAGAGUGGCUAAUACCGCAUGAGAUCUACGGAUGAAAGCAGGGGAUCGCAAGACCUUGUGCUACUAGAGCGGCCGAUGGCAGAUUAGGUAGUUGGUGGGAUAAAAGCUUACCAAGCCGACGAUCUGUAGCUGGUCUGAGAGGACGACCAGCCACACUGGGACUGAGACACGGCCCAGACUCCUACGGGAGGCAGCAGUGGGGAAUUUUGGACAAUGGGCGCAAGCCUGAUCCAGCAAUGCCGCGUGCAGGAUGAAGGCCUUCGGGUUGUAAACUGCUUCUGUACGGAACGAAAAGCCCUGGGUUAAUACCCUGGGGUCAUGACGGUACCGUAAGAAUAAGCACCGGCUAACUACGUGCCAGCCGCCGCAGUAACAC